rnacentral:rRNA from 1 species
UGAGGAAUAUUGGUCAAUGGGCGGAAGCCUGAACCAGCCAAGUCGCGUGAGGGAAGACGGUCCUAUGGAUUGUAAACCUCUUUUGCAGGGGAGCAAGGAGCGGUACGUGUGCCGCUUUGGAGAGUACCCUGAGAAAAAGCAUCGGCUAACUCCGUGCC